AACGAACGUUGGCGGCGUGGAUUAGGCAUGCAAGUCGAACGAGAACCAGCUUUGUAGCAAUACCGAGCUGGGGAAAGUGGCGAAAGGGGCAGUAAUGCGUGGGUAACGUACCUCGGGAUGGGCAUAGCUGGUCUAACGGCCAGGGUAAAUUCCCAGCGAUUUGGUUGAGGGGCAUCCCUUGGCCAGGAAAUGAAUUUCGCCUCGAGAGCGGCUCACGUCGUAUUAGCUUGUUGGCGAGGUAACGGCUCACCAAGGCUAAGAUGCGUAGCGGGUGUGAGAGCACGACCCGCGCCACUGGCACUGAGACACUGGCCAGACACCUACGGGUGGCUG
rnacentral:rRNA from 1 species